AAGAACAUUGUGAUGCUGGAAAGAUGUGGACAUCUUUCAUACAAGGUGGGGAGAAUGUAACAGUGUCAUUAUUUAACGACAUUUGGGUAUUAUUUAGAUUUAUCCAUUUUUGUACUACUGUGCAUGUACAGGCUCUGUAUUUAUCAUAUGUAUAUGUGUACGCAGUUGUAUCGUAUGCUAUUUAUAUAUAUAUGUAAACCUGUUUAACAGGUCAGAGGUCAGAGUUAUUUUUAUAGUAGAGUGACCAUGGGUCAAUGCGCACCCGCGCUUUUUAGGGUAGCGUCACUCCCGUACUAGGCACCGUUGUGAGUGGACGUGUAUAUGUUGCGUCUAUAUAUUUAGCGCAUCCGUGUUGUACCAAUCUACAUCACUCAUUUAUAUGCGCUGUAAUAUUGUACGGGUUGUCUCCCCGGGAGUCGAGCCCUCUUCGUCAAAUGAAGAGGUAGGUUUUUUAUAUGGCUCCAUUUAUAUUGUGUUGGUAGCAUCAUUUUUAAGAAUAUCCAUGUACAUGAGAAAUUGUCAUUGUUUGUAAAAGCGUUACGCACUUGCUACUUUGUCAGAUCUGUAAUGUGCAUAGUUCAGUAGUAGUUGUAACGUUUAUGAUUACGCCUGGGUUAGUAGGUGUUCUUGAAAAUUAGGUUCUAAGUGUUAUGCUUCCGGUUGCGUCAGGUGCGUACACCUGUCGUGUUAUUGUGGGAUGGAUUAUUCCACUUUGAGAUUGUAACUAUUUUACUUAUUGUUGUUAUUUGUUAUUUUAGGGUGUUUUAUGGACUAAUAAACUAUGAAUUGGAA